ensembl:snRNA U6 U6 spliceosomal RNA
GUGCUCACUUCGGCAUCACAUAUACUAAAAUUAGAACAAUAUGGAGAUUAGCAUGGUCCCUACACAAAGAAGAGAUGCAAAUUUGUGGAGCAUUCCAUAUUUUU